rnacentral:rRNA from 1 species
UUAAGUCCCGCAACGAGCGCAACCCUUGUCUUUAGUUGCCAUCAUUAAGUUGGGCACUCUAAAGAGACUGCCGGUGUCAAACCGGAGGAAGGUGGGGAUGACGUCAAGUCCUCAUGGCCUUUAUGACCAGGGCUACACACGUACUACAAUGGCAGGUACAAAGGGCAGCCACUUAGCGAUAAGGCGCGAAUCCCAUAAAACCUGUCUCAGUCCGGAUUGGAGUCUGCAACUCGACUCCAUGAAGUUGGAAUCGCUAGUAAUCGCAGAUCAGCAUGCCGCGGUGGAUACGUUCCCGGGCCUU